GACAUUCGAAUUUUUUACUCCAACUCUUUGACUUAGUUACUAUUUGUAAGUCUUGUCACCAUUAGUCCUGAAAUAUUUGACUCUUGGUGUGUACGCCUAAGUGGACUAAGUCUUGCCUCCUAACCACACCACAACGUGAUAUUAAAUUAAGAACUAAUAGUAUAUAUAUAUCUAAUGUUGAUUCUGCUUUUUCUUGUUUACUUUGGAUACAUAAUCUAGAAGAAAAGGGAAACUAAUUCAUAUUCACAACAGUAUAUAUAUCUAAUGUUGAUUCUGCUUUUUUUUUGUUUACUUUGGAUACAUAAUCUGGAAGAAAAAGGGAAAAUUUAGGUGACAGGGUGGGGAGGAGGAUACAGUCACAGAAAGUAUUAAAUUAUAUAUCAGACCUCUCUCUUCUGACUCUUCAUCGUUCGCCACCUGGUGCAUGCGGGUUUCGGCGGUGGUGCGCUCCGCGUCACUGUCAGAAUAAUAUCUUGUGGUGUUUGUUUUGUUUGCUAUAUAUCUUAAUCCUUCGGCGAUUGAUUUUUCUUUCCGGCAUCGGUGGUCUCUUAGCAUCAAUGGUUGGGAUAAGACUCUGGCGAAUUCUCUUUUCCUUUAGAGGUUCGGUUAGUUUUUGACUCUGGCGUCAGUUCCUUCUUCUCCGGUGAUGACGGUCAGCUAUUGUCUCUGACUUAUAACUUUUUUCUUCAGGGGUUAGUCGGUUUUCCUGGGUGUUUCUUCUCGUUUUGAGGGACACUUCCGUUUCCUUGUGACUGGUGGAUGGUGAUGUGGAUGAGAUCUUGAUUUAGGUCGAUUGACGCUCUCCUGUGGAUAAAGCAUUCGUUAUGUGUAAAGGUUCUAUCUCUUUGUGGUUGGUGUUUGGUGAUUCAGAUGAGAUCUUGAAUUGGUUUGAUGAAGCUCACCGAUGGUUGGAGUGAAGGCAAUGAAAAUCUAUGUCUUAAAGAUGCUGGAUUCUUUGAUCGUGAUUUAUGUUCCCGGUGGAGUCCGGUGGUGUCGAUUAGCUUUUCCGGAAUGUUGAAAGCGGUCGAUUAGUUUUUCCGGCAUGUUGAAAGCGGUGGGCCAAAUUCUGAAGACUAAAAACAUUUAACCGAACCCACUAAUCAAAGGUUGGUAAAGCUAUCAAGGACCGAUUUAGGUCCGUGUCGACCCAGAGACGGAUUUGACCUAAGUAAGAUAAAACAUUGGUAUAGGACCCCUAUUUCAUGGAGCCCCCAAUUUUAAAAAACUUUUAUAUAUAGAAAAAUGUAUACUUAAUAAUAACAAUAAAAUGUUAAUGAUAUUAAACAAAAAUUAUAUUAUGAGAUAAACUUGAUGAUAUUGAUUUUAAAAAUAGUUUAGAUUAAACAUUUACAAAUAAAAAAUACAAGAAAUUUUGAUUUUUACUAUAAAACUAAAUAAAUUUUUUAUUUUUGUAUAG
rnacentral:lncRNA from 1 species